GGACUACUGGGGUAUCUAAUCCUGUUUGCUCCCCACGCUUUCGUACAUGAGCGUCAGUCUCAUCCCAGGGGGCUGCCUUCGCCAUCGGUGUUCCUCCACAUCUCUACGCAUUUCACUGCUACACGUGGAAUUCCACCCCCCUCUGACAGACUCGAGCUUGGCAGUCACAAAUGCAGUUCCCAGGUUGAGCCCGGGGAUUUCACAUCUGUCUUACCAAGCCGCCUGCGUACGCUUUACGCCCAGUAAUUCCGAUUAACGCUUGCACCCUACGUAUUACCGCGGCUGCUGGCAC
rnacentral:rRNA from 2 species